rnacentral:rRNA from 1 species
GACGAACGCUGGCGGCGUGCCUAAUACAUGCAAGUAGAACGCACAGUUUAUACCGUAGCUUGCUACACCAUAGACUGUGAGUUGCGAACGGGUGAGUAACGCGUAGGUAACCUGCCUGGUAGCGGGGGAUAACUAUUGGAAACGAUAGCUAAUACCGCAUAAUAUUAAUUAUUGCAUGAUAAUUGAUUGAAAGGUGCAAAUGCAUCACUACCAGAUGGACCUGCGUUGUAUUAGCUAGUAGGUGAGGUAACGGCUCACCUAGGCGACGAUACAUAGCCGACCUGAGAGGGUGAUCGGCCACACUGGGACUGAGACACGGCCCAGACUCCUACGGGAGGCAGCAGUAGGGAAUCUUCGGCAAUGGACGAAAGUCUGACCGAGCAACGCCGCGUGAGUGAAGAAGGUUUUCGGAUCGUAAAGCUCUGUUGUAAGAGAAGAACGGGUGUGAGAGUGGAAAGUUCACACUGUGACGGUAUCUUACCAGAAAGGGACGGCUAACUACGUGCCAGCAGCCGCGGUAAUACGUAGGUCCCGAGCGUUGUCCGGAUUUAUUGGGCGUAAAGCGAGCGCAGGCGGUUAGAUAAGUCUGAAGUUAAAGGCUGUGGCUUAACCAUAGUACGCUUUGGAAACUGUUUAACUUGAGUGCAGAAGGGGAGAGUGGAAUUCCAUGUGUAGCGGUGAAAUGCGUACAUAUAUGGAGGAACACCGGUGGCGAAAGCGGCUCUCUGGGUCUGUAACUGACGCUGAGGCUCGAAAGCGUGGGGAGCGAACAGGAGGAGAUCCCCUAGUAUUUUAUGGUCUUAU